ensembl:snRNA U6 U6 spliceosomal RNA
GUGGAGAGUCAGAAUCACAUACACAAAAACUGGAACAAGACAGAGAAACUGAGCAUGGUCCCUGCUCAAGGAUGACUUGCAAAUUCGAGAAUGUGUCCUCCCCUCC